rnacentral:lncRNA from 1 species
UGCAGACAGAUUUCCCAACAAUUUCUUUGGGGUGAAACUGGAAUGAAGAUUCCCAAGAAAUGACCCACAAUGCUAGGGAAACUAAAUGUCCACUCCAAGUACUCUCUUCCCCUGGAGAAGCUUAAGGCUGAGGAGAGACCUUUAAGUGUUAUGCUGUGCUGGUCUGGGGAAGAAAAAGGUAGUAUGUAACUAUUCUUUUUACCCUUCUAAUAUAGCCUGUCUUGGUCUUGGUGGUGCAGGGCAUGCUUCAAUAUCACCCCCAUGUUCUAGGAUUUUUUUCAGCAGUGUCUGUCCAUGAAUAGUUGUUGGUUGUUCUGCCUGGGGUGGGGAGGGGUGAAGAGAGGAAUGAUUUAUAUGGUUAUCUUAGUGAUGUCACUCUGGUUUUUAGUUAGUAUUCUCACUUUUCAUGUAUGUCAACAUCUAAUCUGAUCUUGAAUAUAAUAAUAACAGUUAGGAACACAUUUGAGAAUGAUAUUAUUUUGAGUUCAUAUUGUUUUUGUAGCAAGUGACAAAAGUUAAUGGGACCUAGGCCUUAUUGAAUAUUAAAAUAAGAGGAAAAAAUCUAACUUUGUUUUGAAACAUUACAGACUUCAAGAGUAUAUAAAGAAUAGCCUUCAUGUGUGAAAAGACAUUGGCAAAGAGAUUCUUGGUCAAAUGUCAUAAUGCAUAUUUCCUUCUCUGAUUUCUCUCCUUUCCUCAUUCUCAUUUUGCAAUUUCUUUGAACAUACUCCCCUACAGCUGGCUCCAUUUCUUCCCAAACCAGUUGUACAUUUCUGAAAAGAUAGACAUCACAGCUUUUAUUUUUUGUCACCCAUCUUUGCUCAGUUAGUUAUUUACAGCCAUGCAUGGUGCAUAAUAGAUGUUGAAGAAACAUUCAUGAAAAUUAGCAAAUGCUUCUCCAUCUCCUGAAGAUUGUACCAUCAUUGAAGAAAUUCUCAGCAAAUUCUAUAUGAACCUAUGGUAUUUCAAAAUUCAUCUUUUUGUGAAAAAAUAUCCUUUUAAAACUGGUGUGUGUUGUGGGUCUUGCUCAUAGGAAACUUAUAUUAAUAAAGAUUGUGGGUAUGAUUGCAGGAAAAAGGAGUUUCUAGAAAACACAUCCACAAAGCAGGGGGUUGCCAAGUAAACAACCCAGCAAAACAUCCUGCCACACUCAAAAACAGAUGGAGUUGCCACCCUGUCACUUUGACACCACAAUAACAAGGCAUUAUACCCCCUUAGCUAUAUCCUAUGAAUGUUAGUCUGAGAAUGGAUUUGAUGAAUGCUCUAUUUGAGCUAACAAUUAGAUUUUCUAUAUUUACCCCUUUUUAUCCCAGAUCUGUUUUCAUUGGUCUCUAUCUUUCCCUAACUAUUCUCUAUACUUUUGAAAUCUUUGCUUCUAUCUACUAGCCUCAUGAUUGAUUCAUUUGAUCUGGCUCUGUUAGUGCAUGCUAUCAUAAACUGCCAUUUUUUUUGAGUGCUCAUAUUUGUGUCUCUGUCUCUCAUGCUAAACAAAUCAUCUAAAAAACUAUUCUUUUUUUAAAGUAAAAUAUGUAAGAUGCAUGUAGAAUUUGGACUUGAGAUUUUCUUGAUUUGGUAGUAUUUUUAAAGUUGGCAAAUUUUAUGUUACAAUCAAUUGUUCUGACUUAUCUUGAAAAAUUGUAAAUUUUGGUAGUGUGGGGUUAUCAUUUUUGUAAGGGAGCAAUUGGCUGGAAAUGAGUAACCAUUGCCUCCUUUGAUUUGGGUACACUUUUCAGUAUGUCUCAUUCCCCACUAUUCCACCAUGUAUUACCCUCAGCUUACCUAACUUAUUUAAAUGUAAGAGCCCUAAAUUAGACAAAGCUACCAAUUAAGGCAGCUACUACAGGAAGGUCCAGUAUUGUUUAAGAUAUAUCCGUUCAACAUAUACUGCAAAAGGAGGAAAAAAGAAAUAUUAAAUAUCAAGUAUGUGCCAAGUUAUCCCUGUUAUCAAACAGCUCACAUCUAAAGGGAGAGAUAGCCAAGGAAACAAACAGCCCAAGUGUAAUAAGAUGUACACUAAGAUCCGGGUAUGAAACAUGUUCUUGUUUUUUUUUUACUUUUGGGGCCUGCACUGGUGGCAUAUGGAGGUUCCCAGGCUAGGUGUCAAAUCAGAGCUGCAGCUGCAAGCCUAUGCCACAGUGUCAGCAACACUGGAUCCCAAGAUGUGUCUGCAAACUACACCGCAACUCAUGGCAACACUGUAUCCUUAACCCACUGAUCAAGGCCAGGGAUAGAACCCACAUCCUCAUGGAUACUAGUUGGGUUUGUCACCACUGAGCCACAGUGGGAACUCCAGAAAUGUCAUCUUGUUUGCAAACAGCAUUCCUCUAGGCAGAAACUGGCAGUGAUUCCAGCAGCAGAUGUAAACUCAGGCAUGGAUUUACAAACAUCUGAAUUCAGGACAGAGCUCCAAAAACAAGAUGAGAUUGUCACUGCAAGGCAGGAAUGAGGAUUACUUACAUUUUCCAUACCUAAAUUUUCUCAUCUGUAAAUAGGGAUAAUAUUGGCCUAAAAUCCUCUCAUUAAGUUGCUAUAAAAAAUCAAAGGAGUUGAUGUAUUAGAGAAUGUUUACAUAGAUUAAAUGGAUUAUAAAUACUAGUUAUUAAAUUACUAGUACUAGUUAUAUUUAUAUUACAUAGUAAUUUUAAGAUGGGGCUCUAAUGUAGGAACUUGAUUAUAGUGGCAGUGGUGAAAUGAGGGUGUGUGGGGAUAAGAGACCAACACUUGGUUAUAGGGUACAUUUGCAUAUUUCUGAAAAUGACUGUAUCCUGACAAAAGAGACUAUAUAGACCCUGUAGCAAUAAAGAGCUCCUGCCCCAGCACUCCUAUUACCCUGAGAGUACCCUUUGCAUUUUUGCACGUCUGUCUUCUUUAAAAGCCUGAUGGCACUUUUUUUUUUUUCAAUGUUGCCUAGCACCUGGUACAAGCUUGACUCUUAGUAAAUCACCAAUAAAUGGUCAUUGAGAAAAGUAUAUGAACAAUUGUGGAAACUUGAAACUAGAUUAAUAUCAGAAUCUUGAGAAUGGCAGGGCUAUGCAUAGAGAAGAGGAUAAAGGGGGCCCCAGCUGGGGGACUCUACAGUUCUAUGGGCAAAGAAUACAUGGUACAAUUCCUGAGUACUCACAACUUUUGGGCAAUUGUGUAUAUUGUCCAGCAAUUAGAAAAAUCAACCAUGUAUUUCAUACUACCCAAGGUAUUCCUUAGGCUGCCAAUCUUUCUUCCCAAAUUAGAGUCAAUUCAGGAAGUGCCUGAAUUAAAUAGGAAUAAAUUUGUUUGGCAAGGAAGAAGCAAACUACUUACAGAAACAAAUAGAGCAGCAAAUUUUUUCUCUUCUUUCUUGUCCUGUUGUUAACUGGCAGAGAGAAGAGGCAGGACCAUCAUGUGGCCAAGAGAGACAGAGUAAGGCCUUUUGGACAAACAAAUCUUGCCCGCCUGGGGAACUGAACCACUGCUGUUGAAAGGCCAAUUUUUUUUCAAGAUAAAAUGAUUUUGCCCAAUAUUGUUGCAACUCUUGUCCAGUGUACACUGCCCUAUGGCAUGGACUCCUCUCCCCUUUUUUGAUGCUGCCAACUUACCCUCUGGAGCCAAUAGCCUGUGUACCAGACAUGGCUUUAAGGACCAAGAAAUCUCAAAAGCUGUGGGCAUGGUCCCUGAGCACAGUCUCUUAGCUUGUUUCCCUCGAAAGCCUUAUGUACAUAAUUAGAUUAGUUACUGCCAGUGCCCAAAUCUCUACAACUUUCUUUCCUCAAACUCCCUCUGCUAUAAAAGAAAAGGAAAUGUGGAAAGAAUUUCCUAAUGAAGAAACUUUCCAAGAAGAAAAACUGUUUUCUGCUUUUUAUAUUCUCUUCAUCUUGAGUAACCUCUGUCACCUUCCCCUUUCUACAAGAUUAGGGCCAACUUGUGUGCAAGUGAGAUGAACAGCUGUAUGAUUAUGAGGAUUUGAUGGCACUUGAAAUUUUACCUAAGACUCCUUCCCUCUUUGCUCAAACUGUGUGUUAUAAGGCUUUGGCUCUCAAAUUUAGCAUCCAUUAGAAUUACAUGGGGGGCUUGUUAAAACCCAGAUUACUGGCUCCACAAAGUGCCUCCACAUCUGGAGUUUUCCAAUUCUGAGAUGCAAUCUAAUAAUUUUUCAUUUUCUAAUAAGUUGCCAGGUGAUACUGAUAUAAUUGAUAUAGGAACCACAUGUUGAGAACCACUGUCAUAAUGUAGAAACUCAAUCUAAAAACUUCAUCACUAGGCACUGUAGAAAAUAUUUGCCAUGUAAAACAGCAUAAAUAUUUCAAAUGACAUCUUCUGGAAGCAAAGUACAUUACGUGAAUAAUAUUCAGCUGGUUACUGAUCAGUGCAUAUACGUGAAGAAACUAUCCAAAGCUAGAAAAAGAACAACUUAAAAGGAUGAGAGGCAGCUGCUCUUGGUCUUCACUCAGGGCCAUAAAUAAUGCCUAUUUCUAAGGUUGAAAACUGAUAAUUCAUGGGGCAUAAAGUAAACUACAUAAGAGUCUUGCUUCAGUAUUGGUGAAUAACAAUCCCCAAGAAGAGCAUAGCCUCAGACCCACCUAACAAAUUUUAAAAGUGAGAACUAAAAGGACUAAAGUGUUUUCAAGUAACAACUGUAAACCUAGGGAAAAAAUUAUAAAUGUUUAAAAGAGUUUUUUAAAAAUAUGACAUCCAAUAAGGUUAAUUCACUGUGUGACAUCCAAUAAAAAUUUAUCAGGAUCGUAAAGAAACAAGAAAAUAUGACCUAUAAUAAGAAAAAUCAAUGAAUUAAAACCAUCCCAGGAUUGACAUGGAUAUUAGAAUUGACAGACAAGGACAUUAGAGCAGUUAUUUUAAUGGUACUCCACAUGGAAACUUUUUUAGACAUGGAAAAUUUUUUUAAUAGUCAUUUUAGAGGUAAAAAAAUAAUGGGAGAUAAACUGCUGGUGGGAGAUAAAAAACUGCUAGGUGGAGUUAAUGGCAGAUUGGAUAUCAUGGAAGAAAAGAUUAGUGAACAUGAAGAUGGAGCAAUAGAAACCCACAAAACAGAAUGAAAAUAAUUUUUUUAAUGCACAGAAAAUCAGCAAACUAUUGGACUUCAGGUAGACAAAUAUAUGCAUAAUUGAAGUCUUCAAAGGAAAGAAGAGCAUAGGCACCUAAAGAAAUUUGAAGCAAUAAUGGAAAAUAUCCAAAUUUGAUGAAAAUAGUAUAUUCACAGAUUGAAGACACUCAAUACAUCCU